rnacentral:rRNA from 1 species
GACGAACGCUGGCGGCGCGCUUAACACAUGCAAGUCGAACGGAAAGGCCUGCUUUCCCUUGUGGAUUGCGGGUACUCGAGUGGCGAACGGGUGAGUAACACGUGAGUGAUCUGCCCCCAACUUGGGUAUAAGCCUGGGAAACUGGGUCUAAUUCCCGAUAGGACUGCAGGGUGGUGCCUGUGGUGGAAAACGAUUUUCUAGUGGUUGGGGAUGAGCUCGCGGCCUAUCAGCUUGUUGGUGGGGUAAUGGCCUACCAAGGCGGCGACGGGUAGCCGGCCUGAGAGGGUGGACGGCCACAUUGGGACUGAGAUACAGCCCAGACUCCUACGGGAGGCAGCAGUGGGGAAUAUUGCACAAUGGGCGGAAGCCUGAUGCAGCGACGCCGCGUGGGGGAUGACGGCCUUCGGGUUGUAAACUCCUUUCGACCGCGAGGAAGCCACCUGGUUGGAAGGGUGGUGACGGUAGUGGUAGAAGAAGCACCGGCUAACUACGU